GGGCCCGCACAAGCGGUGGAGCAUGUGGUUUAAUUCGAUGCAACGCGAAGAACCUUACCAGGGUUUGACAUCCUGCGAAUCUCUUGGAAACAGGAGAGUGCCUUCGGGAACGCAGUGACAGGUGGUGCAUGGCUGUCGUCAGCUCGUGUCGUGAGAUGUUGGGUUAAGUCCCGCAACGAGCGCAACCCACGUCUUUAGUUGCCAGCAUUUAGUUGGGCACUCUAGAGAGACUGCCGGUGAUAAGCGGGAGGAAGGUGUGGAUGACGUCAAGUCCUCAUGGCCCUUACGGGUUGGGCUACACACGUGCUACAAUGGCAGUGACAAUGGGUUAAUCUCACAAAGCUUGUCGUAGUCCGGAUUGGAGUCUGCAACUCGACUCCAUGAAGUCGGAAUCGCUAGUAAUCG
rnacentral:rRNA from 1 species